UUUUUUUUUUUUUUUUUUUUUUUUCAAAUUUUGAGUCAUUUUAGAAUUCUUGAGGGAA
rnacentral:ribozyme from 13 species